CAACAGGGAUUGCCCCAGUAACGGCGAGUGAAGCGGCAACAGCUCAAAUUUGAAAUCUGGCUCUCGGCCCCGAGUUGUAAUUUGUAGAGGAUGCUUUUGGUGAGGUGCCUUCCGAGUUCCCUGGAACGGGACGCCACAGAGGGUGAGAGCCCCGUCUGGUUGGACACCGAGCCUCUGUAAAGCUCCUUCGACGAGUCGAGUAGUUUGGGAAUGCUGCUCUAAAUGGGAGGUAUAUGUCUUCUAAAGCUAAAUACCGGCCAGAGACCGAUAGCGCACAAGUAGAGUGAUCGAAAGAUGAAAAGAACUUUGAAAAGAGAGUUAAACAGUACGUGAAAUUGUUGAAAGGGAAGCGCUUGUGACCAGACUUGGGCUUGGUUGAUCAUCCGGGGUUCUCCCCGGUGCACUCUUCCGGCUCAGGCCAGCAUCAGUUCGCCCUGGGGGAUAAAGGCAGCGGGAAUGUGGCUCUCUCCGGGGAGUGUUAUAGCCCGCUGCGUAAUACCCUGUGGCGGACUGAGGUUCGCGCAUUCGCAAGGAU
rnacentral:rRNA from 1 species